rnacentral:rRNA from 1 species
CCUACGGGAGGCAGCAGUGGGGAAUAUUGGACAAUGGGGGCAACCCUGAUCCAGCCAUGCCGCGUGUGUGAAGAAGGCCCUCGGGUUGUAAAGCACUUUCAGUGAGGAAGAACGCCUGGUGGUUAAUACCCAUCAGGAAAGACAUCACUCACAGAAGAAGCACCGGCUAACUCCGUGCCAGCAGCCGCGGUAAUACGGAGGGUGCGAGCGUUAAUCGGAAUUACUGGGCGUAAAGCGCGCGUAGGUGGCUUGAUAAGCCGGUUGUGAAAGCCCCGGGCUCAACCUGGGAACGACAUCCGGAACUGUCAAGCUAGAGUGCAUGAGAGGAAGGUAGAAUUCCCGGUGUAGCGGUGAAAUGCGUAGAGAUCGGGAGGAAUACCAGUGGCGAAGGCGGCCUUCUGGACUGACACUGACACUGAGGUGCGAAAGCGUGGGUAGCAAACAGGAUUAGAUACCCGUGUAGUC